GGCAGGGAAAGCCACCACCAAGCUUAGACUCCGACAGCCUUGAUCUCAUGGAUUCUAAGCCAAGGAGCUUCCAGCCAGAACCCAGAGACAUCUGAGAACGUGUAGACGGAAGCUGUCGGGAAGAGUGACUCAUGGGAGCAUGCCUGGAAUAUACUCAGGCAAUUAAUGGUCAUGGUGGUGCACCUGCUGUGAAGAGCUGAGAGAAGAAUGCAGUUUGGUACAAGGAAUACAUCUCUUGUCUUUCAGGAAGGGAAGAGGCGAUUCCUGGGAUGCGCUCACCCUGCUGGCUGGCCCAGACUCAGCAC
rnacentral:lncRNA from 1 species